rnacentral:rRNA from 1 species
AUUGAACGCUGGCGGCAUGCCUUACACAUGCAAGUCGAACGGCAGCGGGGACUUCGGUCCGCCGGCGAGUGGCGAACGGGUGAGUAAAGCAUCGGAACGUACCCUUCAGUGGGGGAUAACUAUCCGAAAGGAUAGCUAAUACCGCAUAUUCUCUGAGGAGGAAAGCGGGGGACCUUAGGGCCUCGCGCUGAUGGAGCGGCCGAUGUCAGAUUAGCUAGUUGGUGAGGUAAAGGCUCACCAAGGCGACGAUCUGUAGCGGGUCUGAGAGGAUGAUCCGCCACACUGGGACUGAGACACGGCCCAGACUCCUACGGGAGGCAGCAGUGGGGAAUUUUGGACAAUGGGGGCAACCCUGAUCCAGCCAUGCCGCGUGAGUGAAGAAGGCCUUCGGGUUGUAAAGCUCUUUCGGCCGGGAAGAAAUCGCACAGGCUAAUACUCUGUGUGGAUGACGGUACCGGAAUAAGAAGCACCGGCUAACUACGUGCCAGCCGCCGCCGUAA